UGCCGCUAUAACUCAGUGGUAGAGCACUGGUCUCGUAAACCAGGGGUCGUGAGUUCAAACCUCACUGGCGCAU